UACGUAGGUGACAAGCGUUGUCCGGAUUUACUGGGCGUAAAGAGCGCGCAGGCGGUCGAUCAAGUCGAGUGUGAAAGCCCCCGGCUCAACUGGGGAGGGUCAUUCGAUACUGAUCGACUCGAAGGCAGGAGAGGGUAGUGGAAUUCCCGGUGUAGUGGUGAAAUGCGGAGAUAUCGGGAGGAACACCAGUGGCGAAGGCGACUACCUGGCCUGUUCUUGACGCUGAGGCGCGAAAGCUAGGGGAGCAAACGGG
rnacentral:rRNA from 1 species